UACGUAGGGGCCUAGCGUUGUCCGGAAUUAUUGGGCGUAAAGAGCUCGUAGGCGGUUCGGCAAGUCGGAUGUGAAAUCUCCACGCUUAACGUGGAGGGGCCAUUCGAAACUGCUGUGACUCGAGUCCGGUAGGGGAGUGUGGAAUUCCCGGUGUAGCGGUGAAAUGCGCAGAUAUCGGGAGGAACGACCGAGUAGCCGAAGGCGGGCACU
rnacentral:rRNA from 1 species